UCAACUGAUCGUCUCUCUCUCUCGACUGCUCUUCCGCCGCGGACGCUCGCCGGAGCAAGCAACGACAGGCUCCACCUCCUUUUUCCCUUUUUCGGCGACUGCAACGACAGCCACCGCCGUCUCUUAUCUCCCUCGAAACUUUCUCCGAUCUCCCUCUCUAUCGGUCUCUGGCUAACGCGCCUCCAGUCGAUGAAGGAUGCCGCCUUCAUUUCUACCCAAACCCGGCUCAGAGCGGCGACAAGGCCCUUGCCUCGCCGUCUCUCCCUCAGAUCUCCGGCCGACAGCAGCAGAUGAAGCAGGCUGUCGUCGAUUCUCCCUCGGCUCUCUCUCUCAAAAUCGAAACCCACACCUCACUCCGUCCGAGUCGUCUUCCUCCUUGGAAACGGUGAGAUCGCCGCUCCCUUCCUCUCUACUUUGCUCUCCCUCCGUCCGUGGCCGGACGACAGCGGCAGGGCCGCCGCGCCCAGUCCUCCCUCGGUGAAAACUCAACCACCGCCCCAACCCAUCUCUCUCUCUCUCUCUCUCUCUCUGUGACAGUGGCGAACCACCACCACCACCACUAGACGGACAGCAGCGAUGAGCCGCCGCCGCCUCCCUCGAUUCUCUCUCAUCCCCCCUCAGUCAGCCUCCACCCUC
rnacentral:lncRNA from 1 species